AUCUGAUCUACAACAAAUAUAAGAUAAUCUCACAAGAGAAGAAGACGAGGAAAAAUAAGAGAAACAAAAGUGAGUCUUUUCCGAUGAUGGUAAGAAACACCACAGACCUCAAAAUAUGCGGAGACGACGAAAAACAUCUUAGGAGAAUAAUGUUAAAUGUUGUUCCAAAAAAAAGAAUAAUGUUCAAAAAUGUGAAAAUAUGAAAUACAAUUUCGACGUUGAAACCAGUAAUGUUAGAAUCAACAAAUGAUUAAAUGCAAAGUUAUUGAAAUUUAAUAUGUUUUACAUCAUAAGCUCAAUUCACCACUAACAAAUAUUACUACACACACAGAAUCACAUUAUUGAAAAAACAACACACAUAAUAUAUUAACAAAUAUAUUACAUAACACCAC
rnacentral:lncRNA from 1 species